CUGGGAUUUGCUUUCUCUCCCUCAUCGAUAAGUGGGAGCUGAUAAAAGGUUUUACUUUCUUCUCCUGCCAGAGCAGAGCCCUCCCUCCGGUUCAGCUGGCGGUGGGGCGUGCUGACACAGUGCACCGCACGGCUCGGGCUCUGUGGUGUUUUCAAGCAAACUUACAGGUAUUUCAGGGCUUUGCAGCUAAACAGAAGUGCUCUGGAUAAAUGAAAACAACCCCAGAGUUACUCUCUGCAGCACUCCUUGAGGUGUCUUCCUGUUCUACAGCAUGUGGAUGAUGCAUGGAGCAGCCAGGGCUAGCUCAGCCAGGAGGGGAUCCUGAAGGUUAUGUUAGUGCAUGCUGUACGUAUAUAACGUGUAUAUACCUACUAUAUGUAUACAAUUAUGUUAAUGUGUGAUUUAGUUGGAAGUGGAUCAUAUGUUGGCCUGCGGCCAUGGGACGUCUCUGCAGCAGAGGAGGUUUGGUUGGGACGCGCCUGCAGGACUCUCGUGGUCGCCGGAGAGAAGGUACUGGCCGACCGGCAGCAGAGCUCGUCUGCGAGAACGAGAAAGAGUAACGAGAGGGACUGGGAAGAGAGCUGAGCCCAUGACUACUCUUGGUGAACCCAAGGAGGCGUCUGAACAAAACCAGCCCGCAGCCUUUGCAUUCUGCUGACGGCCCCCGGAGAGUCAGCAAACCGCAGGCCCUUCAGCCGCUAGCGGCGCUUUGCCUCCUCCGGCCUCCUGCUCGCGAGCCUGGAAGAGCCUGGAGCCGAAGCCUGGAGCCACGCGGGCGCCCUGGGACCUCGUCCCGUUUGCCAGGCGCAGCCGAGGCCCGGCCUGGGCGCCAACCGGCCGCGCGACGCUCAGCGGCAAAUCCGGGUCCCCGUCUAAAUCCGGACAAACGGAUUUUCAGGGAGGAGCUGCGCUGGCUCCCCCCGGAGCGCUCUGCCGGCAGACGUCCGGCUGCUCCGCGCCGCCAGAGCAGCCCCUCGCCUGCACGGCCUUCGCCUCUUGCUCCUCGCCAGGUCUGGGGUGCUCUCCGCACGCGCUUCUGGAGGUGCAGCACUCGGUAAGCACCAGCCUCGGCACCUGGACACAGACCGAAGACCGCGCGGGACAAGCCUGCUGCCGGCCAGAUUCAGCGGUCCGGUUCGGCGUUCUAGCAGGGAUCAAGGGAGGAGCUGGGGGUCCAACCCGGGAGAGCCUGGGAGGCUGCGGCACAAAGACCGUGUGCGCCGUCUGCAUCGCCUCUUGCUGAGGCGGAUUACAAAGGCAUCCGAGAGAGUGAUUUCUAGUUUGCGGUCAACAUCUGGACCAUGCCAGCUGCCACCUCCUGUUGCGACGGGCUGCUUCCCACCCGCACAGCUAUCGCAGCAGACGGCACUGCUGGGGAAGCUUCGCAGGGCCGGGGGGGGAUGCAGCCUGGGAGGUGGACGCACUGUUCCCCAUGCCCUGGGGCGAUCCACGCCCCGGGACGGGAGCCUCCGCGCACACGGUCCCUGCCCGUGCGGCGCGCUGCCGGGAAGCUCUGCCUGGCUCUUUGCAGCCCAGCGGGCACGCUGCCAGCCUUCCCACUCUUGUUUGGCUAAGGUGCUGCCAGCACAGCAGCUACUCCAUUUCCCUGCACACAGGUUUUGUGACUCAUCCGCCAGGAAUGUCCGAGACUGGCGGCAGUGCUGCAGGUGAGCCGGGGAGGUGGUGUUCUGCUCAUGGUCUGAUCUUCUAGAGACCAAGACAAAACUGGUGACCAGCGACAGCUCUUUUCCUGCAGGCAGGCGGCCUCUACGGCCUGGACCGUCUCUGCUUGCUGUGCUGUGUGCACACGGGAAAGCAGCCGUAGCGGCCUCCCUCCCUCCCUGCCCCGCUCCUUUGCAGCUCCUCAC